GACGAACGCUGGCGGCGUGCUUAACACAUGCAAGUCGAACGGAAAGGCCCUGCUUUUGUGGGGUGCUCGAGUGGCGAACGGGUGAGUAACACGUGAGUAACCUGCCCUUGACUUUGGGAUAACUUCAGGAAACUGGGGCUAAUACCGGAUAGGAGCUCCUGCUGCAUGGUGGGGGUUGGAAAGUUUCGGCGGUUGGGGAUGGACUCGCGGCUUAUCAGCUUGUUGGUGGGGUAGUGGCUUACCAAGGCUUUGACGGGUAGCCGGCCUGAGAGGGUGACCGGCCACAUUGGGACUGAGAUACGGCCCAGACUCCUACGGGAGGCAGCAGUGGGGAAUAUUGCACAAUGGGCGGAAGCCUGAUGCAGCAACGCCGCGUGCGGGAUGACGGCCUUCGGGUUGUAAACCGCUUUCGCCUGUGACGAAGCGUGAGUGACGGUAAUGGGUAAAGAAGCACCGGCUAACUACGUGCCAGCAGCCGCGGUGAUACGUAGGGUGCGAGCGUUGUCCGGAUUUAUUGGGCGUAAAGGGCUCGUAGGUGGUUGAUCGCGUCGGAAGUGUAAUCUUGGGGCUUAACCCUGAGCGUGCUUUCGAUACGGGUUGACUUGAGGAAGGUAGGGGAGAAUGGAAUUCCUGGUGGAGCGGUGGAAUGCGCAGAUAUCAGAGGAACACCAGUGGCGAAGGCGGUUCUCUGGGCCUUUCCUGACGCUGAGGAGCGAAAGCGUGGGGAGCGAACAGGCUUAGAUACCCUGGUAGUCCACGCUGUAAACGGUGGGUACUAGGUGUGGGGUCCAUUCCACGGGUUCCGUGCCGUAGCUAACGCUUUAAGUACCCCGCCUGGGGAGUACGGCCGCAAGGCUAAAACUCAAAGGAAUUGACGGGGCCCCGCACAAGCGGCGGAGCAUGCGGAUUAAUUCGAUGCAACGCGUAGAACCUUACCUGGGUUUGACAUGGAUCGGGAGUGCUCAGAGAUGGGUGUGCCUCUUUUGGGGUCGGUUCACAGGUGGUGCAUGGCUGUCGUCAGCUCGUGUCGUGAGAUGUUGGGUUAAGUCCCGCAACGAGCGCAACCCUUGUUCACUGUUGCCAGCACGUUAUGGUGGGGACUCAGUGGAGACCGCCGGGGUCAACUCGGAGGAAGGUGGGGAUGACGUCAAGUCAUCAUGCCCCUUAUGUCCAGGGCUUCACGCAUGCUACAAUGGCUGGUACAGAGAGUGGCGAGCCUGUGAGGGUGAGCGAAUCUCGGAAAGCCGGUCUCAGUUCGGAUUGGGGUCUGCAACUCGACCUCAUGAAGUCGGAGUCGCUAGCAAUCGCAGAUCAGCAACGCUGCGGUGAAUACGUUCCCGGG
rnacentral:rRNA from 1 species